AGAGUUUGAUCAUGGCUCAGAAUCAACGCUGGCGGCGUGCCUCAGACAUGCAAGUCGAACGCGAAAGUCCCCUUCGGGGGGCAAGUAGAGUGGCGCACGGGUGAGUAACACGUAGGUAAUCUACCUUUGGAUUGGGAAUAACAACCGGAAACGGUUGCUAAUACCGAAUAAUGCAGCGGCACCUAAUGGUGACAGUUGUUAAAGCGGGGGAUCGCAAGACCUCGCGUCUAAAGAGGAGCCUGCGGCGGAUUAGCUAGUUGGUAGGGUAAUGGCUUACCAAGGCGAUGAUCCGUAGCCGGCCUGAGAGGGCGGUCGGCCACACUGACACUGACAUACGGGUCAGACUCCUACGGGAGGCAGCAGUCGGGAAUUUUGGGCAAUGGGCGAAAGCCUGACCCAGCAACGCCGCGUGAAGGAUGAAAUCCUUCGGGAUGUAAACUUCGCAAGAACGGGAAGAAUAAGCCGGUGUCAACACCAUCGGCGAUGACGGUACUGUUUGUAAGCUCCGGCUAACUCCGUGCCAGCAGCCGCGGUAAUACGGGGGGAGCAAGCGUUGUUCGGAUUUACUGGGCGUAAAGGGCGGGUAGGCGGCCACCGCAAGUCAGUUGUGAAAUCUCCGGGCUUAACCCGGAAAGGUCAACUGAUACUGCGGGGCUAGAGUGCAGAAGGGGCAACUGGAAUUCUCGGUGUAGCGGUGAAAUGCGUAGAUAUCGAGAGGAACACCUGCGGCGAAAGCGGGUUGCUGGGCUGACACUGACGCUGAACUGCGAAAGCUAGGGGAGCGAACGGGAUUAGAUACCCCGGUAGUCCUAGCCUUAAACGAUGAAUGCUUGGUGUCUGGGGUUUUAUAGUCCCCGGGUGCCGUCGCUACGCUUUAGCAUUCCGCCUGGGGAGUACGUCGCAGACUGAAACUCAAAGGAUUGACGGGACCCGCACAGCGUGAGCAUGUGGUUUAUUCGACGCACG
rnacentral:rRNA from 1 species